rnacentral:rRNA from 1 species
AGAGUUUAGAUCAUGGCUCAGGACGAACGCUGGCGGCGCGCUUAACACAUGCAAGUCGAACGCUGCUCGUUGCCUUCGGGUGAUGAGCGGAGUGGCGAACGGGUGCGUAACACGUGAGUGACCUGCCCCUGUGCGGGGGAUAACCCGGGGAAACCCGAGCUAAUACCGCAUGGAGUCCAUUUUCUGUAAGGGAGAUGGAUGAAAGGCGCUGUGCCUUCGGGCGUGGCGUUGUGCAGGGAGGGGCUCGCGGCGUAUCAGCUGGUUGGUGAGGUAACGGCUCACCAAGGCGAUGACGCGUAGGGGGUCUGAGAGGAUGGCCCCCCACAUUGGGACUGAGAUACGGCCCAGACUCCUACGGGAGGCAGCAGUGGGGAAUCUUGCGCAAUGGGCGAAAGCCUGACGCAGCGACGCCGCGUGCGGGAGGACGCUUUUCGGAGUGUAAACCGCUGUCAGGGGGGAAGAAAGUCAGGAGCAGGCAAUGGCUUCUGUUUGACGGUACCCCCAGAGGAAGCACCGGCUAACUCUGUGCCAGCAGCCGCGGAUAAUACAGAGGGUGCAAGCGUAGUUCGGAAUUACUGGGCGUAAAGGG